UAUUGUAGUGGCAAGAUGGAAAUGGAGUUGUUUGUGCUGCAGUUGCCGAGUGAUUUCAGUUGGAGAUAUCAGAAUGGAAUUUGAAAAAUACUGUAAGAUAGUUAUAUGUUCUCUCAUAAACGCUGUUAGAUAUCUGAGAUGGAUAUUAUGUUUGGUCCUGGAAGACUCUUAUAGGUGGAUGUGAGUGGUCAUUACAGAUUUGUUCUGAAAUGUAGCUAAUAUCCACUGUUUGUCGACCGGACCAAAUUUGUUCUCUUCCGUUCUAGUUGGUAAAUUUCAGAAAACACACACUUGACUAGGAUUUAAUGUUUGACUCUGUUUGGUAACUCUUCAUUAAACUUGAGAGUUUGUUUGGUUGUUUACAAUUGUUGAAAUAAUCUGAUUGCAAACAGACAACCAUUUCCUGAGUUAUCAAAACCAUGUUUUAAAAAAAAAAAUCAGUGAUCAACACUGUACAUGAUAACAAUUGGCAGUAUGAGGUGAUGCUUUUGUGUUCUAAACAGCUAUGAAAUGCAGGGUUGUAAAGAAACCUAAAUUCCCAUAGGGUGCAUUAGGUUUCAUUGUUUUUCUUUUAGUUGUUCGAUUCUAGAAACGAAACCUAAAUUCCCGUAGGGUGCUUGUAAAGAGUGCAACCCUGCAUUUCAUAGCUGCUUUGUAAUAACGCCUAUCUUGUAUUGUUUUCUAUAAUGUUCUCGAAGCUGCAAGAUAUCCAAGACUAAAAAGAUUCAAGGAUCCAGGUCGCGAUGUUAAUGGUAAAUGUCAGCUGGGGAUGAAGUCUUCACGAAGAUCAUCGUUGUCGGACAUUGAUGCUGGCUAAAGGAAAAAAUAACGAAUUUUGAGCUUGGGAUCUUGCUCAUGGUAGUCAUUCAUAUUCCCUGGAUUCAUUGCUGUGGAUGUGCACGCUCAUAUUCCCAAGGGUUGGUACCCUAUCCUUUUUAUCACCACCUAUGUGUAUAAAAUGGUUGUGAAAUUCCAGACUUCCAUUAUCACCUAAAGAAAUUUUGGGUUGUGACUGGCGCAUGUGGUGUAUGGCUAUCCGUCUACUUGAGUUACUUGCAUGCCUUGCACUAUCUGAAAUUCAUUUUGUGAUGUGUGCGUAUCUCUUUUCCAAUAACUUUAGCCAUAAUCCAACUUAUUGUACAUUGUAUUUCUCUUAAAGGUUGCUUGCAGGUUUCAUACAGUUUGCCAUUUUUCCAAUUAAUAUGAAAUGGAAGUGUUUUAGGUGGAAAA